rnacentral:rRNA from 2 species
AACGAACGCUGGCGGCAUGCCUAACACAUGCAAGUCGAACGCUCGCAAGAGAGUGGCGGACGGGUGCGUAACACGUGGGAACCUGCCUUUGGGUACGGAACAACACCGGGAAACUGGUGCUAAUACCGUAUAAUGUCUACGGACCAAAGAUUUAUCGCCUGAAGAGGGGCCCGCGUUGGAUUAGCUUGUUGGUGAGGUAAAGGCUCACCAAGGCGAUGAUCCAUAGCUGGUCUGAGAGGAUGAUCAGCCACACUGGGACUGAGACACGGCCCAGACUCCUACGGGAGGCAGCAGUGGGGAAUAUUGGACAAUGGGCGAAAGCCUGAUCCAGCAAUGCCGCGUGAGUGAAGAAGGCCUUAGGGUUGUAAAGCUCUUUCGUCCACGACGAUAAUGACGGUAGUGGAAGAAGAAGCCCCGGCUAACUCCGUG